rnacentral:rRNA from 1 species
AUUUGAAAUCUGUCACCUUCGGUGUCCGAGUUGUAAUUUGAAGAAGGUAUCUUUGGUUUUGGCUCUUGUCUAUGUUUCUUGGAACAGGACGUCACAGAGGGUGAGAAUCCCGUGCGAUGAGAUGCCCAAUUCCAUGUAAAGUUCCUUCGACGAGUCGAGUUGUUUGGGAAUGCAGCUCUAAGUGGGUGGUAAAUUCCAUCUAAAGCUAAAUAUUGGCGAGAGACCGAUAGCGAACAAGUACUGUGAAGGAAAGAUGAAAAGAACUUUGAAAAGAGAGUGAAAAAGUACGUGAAAUUGUUGAAAGGGAAGGGCUUGAGGUCAGACUUGGUUUACCAGGCCAGCAUCAGUUUGGAUGGCAGGAUAAUAACUAAGAAAAGUGGCACUGCUUCGGUGGUGUGUUAUAGUCUUGGUUGAUACUGCCUGUCUAGACUGAGGACUGCGUCUUUGACUAGGAUGCUGGCAUAAUGACCUUAAGCCGCCCGUCUUGAA